CGCGUAGGUGUCCCGACAAGUCAGAUGUGGAAUCUUUUUGCUUAACGAAAAAAUUGCAUCUGAAACUAUCGGGAUUGAGUCAGCGAGGGGAUGGCGGAAUUCCUGGUGUAGCGGUGAAAUGCGUAGAUAUCAGGAGGAAGGCCGGUGGCGAAGGCGGCCAUCUGGCGCUGAACUGACACUGAGGCGCGAAAGCGUGGGGAGCAAACAGGAUUAGAUACCCUGGUAGUCCACGCCCUAAACGGUGGGCACUAGGUGUAGGGCUCGUAAGGGUUCUGUGCCGAAGGGAAACCAUUAAGUGCCCCGCCUGGGGAGUACGGCCGCAAGGUUGAA
rnacentral:rRNA from 1 species